GACUAGGGGACACCAGGAAUUGGGUUUGUUUGCGAUGCCUCAGAAGCGGCAAGAUGGCGACAGGUAUCAGGGCGCAAGCGCAGCCGCGCGCUGCUAGUCGGGUGGUGUAGUUCUCCUUUCCCGCCUUUCGGAGAACGGACACCAGAAGGCCUCCAUUCUCCGUGUCCCCCUUUUCCUCCGCAUUAUGAAAGGAAAGGAGAGUCAUCGCGGGGGCUACUGGUAGUUGUGGUCCAAACCCAAACGUUCCUCUCUUUCGCUCCCGGUUCACUGUCGUAUGCGCAAGGAAGGCUGGGAGUGUAGUUUCCUUGGUUUCUCCUGCGUACCCUCCUCUCUCUGGCCUCGCGCGCCUCUCCUUCGGCACCGUCUCCCAGCCAAUCGGCUGUGCUCUCUGCUACGUGUGGCGUCACACGUAGCGGCCGAAAUGGCGUCAGUAAGUGGAGUUGGGGCUUCGCUGUGUGUUUUGCUCUAGCCGACGUCAGAGGUGGUGGGAAAGCAGCUUCAUCGCAGAGCUAACAUUGAGGAUUAAAACUGGAUUCCUCAGAGCCAUGGGAGCAAUUCUCAGCGGCCGCCGGCCCCCCAAACGGCAAUUCGAGGAAAAUAUUCCACGCUGUGGGAGCCGAUUAUGACAUUGCAGUUGCCGAAACCAGUCUGGGGGCUGCAGAGUCCCAAAUAGAGAAAGGAAACCCGAGCGGUGAGGCUGAGAUUUGAGUUUGAGUUAGUUUCGACGUCGGGUUCCUCCACCUGUGAAAUGGGAACGAUAAUGAUAUCUCGGGCUCUUAUCUGUCCAAUGCCGGAAGGAGAAGGGACUUAUUUGAGGCCCUAUGACGUGCCAGCUGAACUAAAGGCCCUCCACUUGGAGCCAUAUUCUCUUUCAAGAAGUGUUGAGCACUUGUGAAGUCUACAGAGAACUGCUGCACUUAAUGGGAUUGCAUAAAAGAAUAUUCUUCAUCUACUUGACCAAAAGGGGGAUGCGAACGGAAACGAAACAAACGUCAUUGGCAGAGAGACUCCAAAAGGAGCCGAGAGGCCACUCUGGUGGGCACCCCCACGCACAAUACAGACAACCCUUCCCAGGCUCCAACAAACCGGGGCAGCCGGUGGUGGACACCCGAAACAACCCAGAACCCACGAACCUCGAAGACAACUGCACUAAAAUGUAGCUUAUGAGGGGCGACAAUGGGACCGGGAAAGCCAAAGGACCACACUUCCCCCGGUCCAGUCCAUGGAUGGACAAGCAGAAAAACAAGGGAAGGAAACAAACAAACAAACAGACAAAGGCACCCAGCGCUCCCCCCCACCCCAAUUGCUCUCCUUCACUCCAAUCACCACUAUUGCCAUCUUUGUGUGUGUGGCAACGAAGGCGCCAGGGACCGACCCUGGCGAUGAAUGCACAACCACGCAACGGCACUGCGAACAAUCGAAUGCACGACCUGCCCUGCACGACCGCGCGGCAUGCGAACACAUCCCAACAAAAUGAAUAUUAAAAAAAUAAUAAAAAUUAAAAUUAAAAUUAAAAAAAGUGAAAAAAAAAGAAUGUUCUUGUUCAUGGGAAUUGUA